UACAGAGGAUGCAAGCGUUGUUCGGAAUCACUGGGCUUAAAGGGUGUGUAGGCGGACUGGAAGGUGUUUUGUGAAAUCCCUCAGCUCAACUGAGGAAUGGCUUGGCAAACCACCAGUCUUGAGGCCAGUAGAGGUACCUGGAACUUUGGGUGGAGCGGUGAAAUGCGUAGAUAUCCAAGGGAACGCCAAUGGUGAAAACAGGGUACUGGGCUGGUUCUGACGCUGAGGCACGAAAGCGUGGGGAGCAAACAGG
rnacentral:rRNA from 1 species